AUUGAACGCUGGCGGCAUGCUUUACACAUGCAAGUCGAACGGUAACAGGCCUUCGGGUGCUGACGAGUGGCGAACGGGUGAGUAAUGCGUCGGAAAGUACCCAGAGCUGGGGGAUAACGCAGCGAAAGCUGUGCUAAUACCGCAUGUGAUCUGAGGAUGAAGGCGGGGGACCGAGCGGCAAUGGUUGGCCUCGCGCCUUUGGAGCGGCCGAUGUCGGCUCAGCUCGUUGGUGGGGUAAAGGCCUACCAAGGCGACGAUCCGUAGCUGGUCUGAGAGGACGACCAGCCACACUGGGACUGAGGCAAGGCCCAGACUCCUACGGGAGGCAGCAGUGGGGAAUUUUGGACAACGGGCGCAAGCCUGCUCCAGCAAUGCCGCGGGCGGGAAGAAGGCCUUCGGGUUGUAAACCGCUUUUGGCAGGAACGAAACGGUGUCCGCUAAUACCGGGCGCUAAUGACGGUACCUGCAGAAUAAGCACCGGCUAACUACGUG
rnacentral:rRNA from 1 species